rnacentral:lncRNA from 10 species
CAAUUGUAUUUAUGUUGAUCUUGAUAACUUAUACUUCCUCAGCUUGUUGCAUUUUAUGGAGCUCAUAUUCACUAUUACAUAACAUUUAUAUAACUAUGACGGUGAUAGAGACAGGAAGACAGCCAAAGAUCCCCAGGAAAACCCCACCUUCAAUCCUAAAACAGCCUGAAGGCUGAAAAACUGGACUGCUGGUUCCAGAUGAAGCCUGCCCUUUCCCAACUGAUUAUUUCUGAAUAAAGCCCACCUGCACACUGGGAGGACAGGGUGGAGCCUCAGGAAGUUCAUACCAUUUGUAGGGGGUAGGAGCCUGGCCUCUCCUGUUCCUGUGUGGUGACCUGAGAAUCAAUUUGUGAGGCAGGAAACCUGCUAGCAGGACUCUCGCUUUGCUGAGUUAAUUUUUCCUUUUUCCUUUCCACCCAAUAAGUUCCAUUUUCCUCACCCUUCUAUGUAUCCACAAGCCUAAUCAUUCCUGGUUGUGUGACAAGAGGCCAGUUUUAGCUGAACUAAGGAGAAAGUUCUGCAACAUUUUUGGCAUCCAGAUAUGGGGCUCGAGGAAAGGUGAAUUACUGCGUAUGUACAGAGUACAGAAAAAAGAAAGCAAAAGCUAAUAUCCUCAGGAUAAUUGGACAUGGGCGAGACAGAAGGAUGAGCACAUAUCUGAUGGAAAAUCAUUUGGCCGCAGAUUCUCUUCUGAAACAUCCUGUGAGCGAAGCGCUGCAUUCUGGAGUUCCCGAGUCUGUGUUCUUUCCUCUCCCCUGAACGUCCAGGAACCACAAGCAACUCCCCAGCUUCCUUCCUGAGGCCAGGUUGAGGCACUGCUGCUUGUGCCACAGUCAGCAAGUGACCAGGGAGCAGUGCUGGAUGGCCUCUGCAUGGGAGAAUAACCUUGCCCGGCACUGGAAUGCAGGGCUUGAAUGAGCCACAGUGGAGCGCUUAAGUAUAAAAAGAGAGGCAGUUACAGGGCUUUGACUCCUGAGUCUAAAAAGUACAUUACGUCCUGCUAAAUCUUAAACUGACAGCAGUUAAAGCCUCAUCUUCAGACCCAGUAGAAGAUGCCAAUCAAAAUAAACUGCAUUCAUGAGACACAGGGCCAGAAAUUAAAGCUAUUCAACUUCUGAAAGCCCAGGGACUAUCACGGAAGAGAAUAAUGAUGGAAUAAAUUGCAGCUAGAGAAGUGAAGAUGAAAGAGAACUAAUCCAUAAGCGAGGAGUUGUAACAUCAGAAGGACUGUUGCAGAUUACCCUGACCCCUACAGUCUGCCAAAGGAAAAUGCAGUGCCUGGAUAAGUGUCCUGCAUAUAUUCAUAUGCCAAUUUCUCAAUAAUGAUUUCCCCAGAUUUUAAUACUGGUGUAGAAUAAAAUCCCUUUUGUUUUUUUAUUCAAAUAGAGUCAUGAAAUAUUGGAAGUCACAAUUAGCAUGCAGGAUAAGUUGAUAGCUAAAAUAAUCAUAGUAUUUUAGUUUAAAUUCUUCCAUUUGAAAAAGUAUUUAGCCCUGAAUCAUAAAAACUUUUAAAGACAUAGAGAAAUAGGACUGUGGUGGGGUGAGGGGAGGGGGGAGGGAUAGCAUUAGGAGAUAUACCUAAUGCUAAAUGACGAGUUAAUGGGUGCAGCACACCAACAUGGC